rnacentral:rRNA from 1 species
CAACCUCCCACCCGUGUCUAUCGUACCUUGUUGCUUCGGCGGGCCCGCCGUUUCGACGGCCGCCGGGGAGGCCUUGCGCCCCCGGGCCCGCGCCCGCCGAAGACCCCAACAUGAACGCUGUUCUGAAAGUAUGCAGUCUGAGUUGAUUAUCGUAAUCAGUUAAAACUUUCAACAACGGAUCUCUUGGUUCCGGCAUCGAUGAAGAACGCAGCGAAAUGCGAUAAGUAAUGUGAAUUGCAGAAUUCAGUGAAUCAUCGAGUCUUUGAACGCACAUUGCGCCCCCUGGUAUUCCGGGGGGCAUGCCUGUCCGAGCGUCAUUGCUGCCCUCAAGCACGGCUUGUGUGUUGGGCCCCCGUCCCCCUCUCCCGGGGGACGGGCCCGAAAGGCAGCGGCGGCACCGCGUCCGGUCCUCGAGCGUAUGGGGCUUUGUCACCUGCUCUGUAGGCCCGGCCGGCGCCAGCCGACACCCAACUUUAUUUUUCUAAGGUUGACCUCGGAUCAGGUAGGGAUACCCGCUGAACUUAAGCAUAUCAAUAAGGC